rnacentral:misc_RNA from 1 species
UACGUAGGUGGCAAGCGUUGUCCGGAAUUACUGGGCGUAAAGCGCACGUAGGCGGAUCAGUCAGUCAGAGGUGAAAUCCCAGGGCUCAACCCUGGAACUGCCUUUGAUACUGCUGGUCUAGAGAUCGAGAGAGGUGAGUGGAAUUCCGAGUGUAGAGGUGAAAUUCGUAGAUAUUCGGAGGAACGCCAGUGGCGAAGGCGGCUCACUGGCUCGAUACUGACGCUGAGGUGCGACAGCGUGGGUAGCAAACAGG